rnacentral:rRNA from 1 species
UACAGAGGGGGCAAGCGUUGUUCGGAAUUACUGGGCGUAAAGCGCGUGUAGGCGGCGGUGCAAGUCGGGUGUGAAAGCCCUGGGCUCAACCCAGGAAGUGCAUUCGAUACUGCGCUGCUAGAGUCCCGGAGAGGAUGGUGGAACUCUCGGUGUAGAGGUGAAAUUCGUAGAUAUCGAGAAGAACACCGGUGGCGAAGGCGGCCAUCUGGACGGUGACUGACGCUGAGACGCGAAAGCGUGGGGAGCAAACAGG